GUCGCCUUCCACUUUGGGCAGAGAAAUGUCCAUGUCGCCCUUCACCUUUGGACCUUUCAGAUUCAGGUCAACUUCAGGCAUAGAGAUCUUCGGUGCCUUGAGGUGUAAGUCAGGCAUUUUAAAUUUGGGGCCCUUCAGUUUCCCUUCUGGACCAUGAAUAUCAAUAUCAGGAGUGUCAAUGUCCACUUUGGGUCCUGAGACAUCAAUGUCAGCCUUGGGCAGGUUCACAUCCACAUCUGGGCCCUCUCCUUUGAAGCCAGGCAUGCUGAACUUGGGCAUUUUCACCUUGGGCAUCUUCAGGUGCCAGUCUGGGCCUUGAACACCCACAUCUGGGGCAUUAAUAUCCACUUUGGGCCCCUUGAUGUCAACUUCGGGGCCCUUGAGACAUCAAUGUCAGCCUUGGGCAG
rnacentral:lncRNA from 1 species